UCUGAAAUAGCUCAGUUGGUAGAGCGUCAGAUCAUAAAUCGAAAGGUCCUUGGUUCAAUCCCGGGUUCCGGUA
rnacentral:tRNA from 1 species